CGGCGGCCAUGGCCCAGGUGAGACGCCCGGUCCCAUUCCGAACCCGGAAGCUAAGGCCUGGCCCGGCGAUGGUACUGCACCCGACAGGGUGUGGGAGAGUAGCACGCCGCCGCACC
rnacentral:rRNA from 1 species